rnacentral:rRNA from 1 species
UACGGAGGGUGCAAGCGUUAUCCGGAUUCACUGGGUUUAAAGGGUGCGUAGGUGGGUCUGUAAGUCCGUGGUGAAAUCUCCGAGCUUAACUUGGAAACUGCCAUGGAUACUAUAGGUCUUGAAUACUGUGGAGGUCAGCGGAAUAUGUCAUGUAGCUGUGAAAUGCUUAGAUAUGACGUAGAACACCAAUUGCGAAGGCAGCUGGCUACACAAAUAUUGACACUGAGGCACGAAAGCGUGGGGAUCAAACAGG